rnacentral:tRNA from 1 species
GCUAGCUUGGCAGAAAAGUGCUUUAAACUUAGAAUUUAAAAAUGUAAAAAAAUACAGUUAGUA